UACGGGGGGGGCAAGCGUUGUUCGGAAUUACUGGGCGUAAAGGGCGCGUAGGCGGCCCGUCAAGUCCCGUGUGAAAGCCCCCGGCUCAACCGGGGAACGGCGCGGGAAACUAGCAGGCUUGAGUUCGGGAGAGGGAAGCGGAAUUCCGGGUGUAGCGGUGAAAUGCGCAGAUAUCCGGAGGAACACCGGUGGCGAAGGCGGCUUCCUGGACCGACACUGACGCUGAGGCGCGAAAGCGUGGGGAGCAAACAGG
rnacentral:rRNA from 1 species